rnacentral:rRNA from 1 species
UUCUAGAGCUAAUACGUGCGCAAAUCCCGACUUCUGGAAGGGACGUAUUUAUUAAAUAUAAGGCCGACCGGGCUCUGCCCGACUCGCGGUGAAUCAUGAUAACUUCACAAAUCGCAUGGCCUCGUGCCGGCGAUGUUUCAUUCAAAUUUCUGCCCUAUCAACUUUCGAUGGUAGGAUAAAGGCCUACCAUGGUGGUAACGGGUGACGGAGGAUUAGGGUUCAAUUCCGGAAAGGAAGCCUGAAAA